rnacentral:rRNA from 1 species
GACGAACGCUGGCGGCGUGCUUAACACAUGCAAGUCGAACGAAGUGGCGGACGGGUGAGUAACGCGUAAUCAACCUGCUGUUCAGAGGGGGACAAUAGUUGGAAGCGACUGCUAAUACCGCAUACUGAAGGAGGGGAUUGCGUCGGAUUGGCUAGGUGGUGGGGUAACGGCCAACAAAGGCGAUGAUCAGUAGCCGGUCUGGGCGGAUGAACAGCCACACUGGGACUGAGACACGGGCCAGACUCCUACGGGAGGCAGCAGUGGGGGAUCUUGCGCAAUGGGCGAAAGGCUGACGGAGCAACGGCGCGUUCGUGGUGACGGCCUUCGGGUUUUUAAGCUCUGUUAAGCGGGACGCGGUACCGGAAUAGAAAGCCACGGCUAACUACGUGCCAGCAGCCGCGGUAAUUC